GGGGUCCAGACGGUGGCAUCUCUCCAGGCUCAGUGUUUGCCACGCCGGCAGGACUCUGCGGGAAGAGCUUCCCCUUCCUUUCCUGCAGAGCGCACGGGACCUCCCCUGAGGACUGAGGGUGGCCGCUUUGGAGGUGGGGGUGGAGGAGCUCAAGGGCACCUGGGACAUCCAGAACAUUCUCAACAGAGCCCAGGCCACUCUCAGCUGUAACACGACCGCCCAUGGCAGGAGGGAGCCCAGGGAGUCCAGGGCUGUGCACAUCCCGGUCCCCACCAGGGACCACUGUCUGAGCAGAGAGCUCACGACACACGACCCUAACCUCGCAGGUGAGGGUCUCUCAUUGUCACCUCCCCACCAGGGACCACUGUUUGAGCAGAGAGCUCGCAACACACGACCCUAACCUCGCAGGACCACAGUCUGGCUGCAGGAGAGACGCCGAGACAGCAACACGGCAACAGAUGACAUUUAACAACCUCAGAAGUCACUUCCCAUCCAGACCCAGGGACCGUGACCAAUGCUGGUUUGUCCUUCCCCUGACGACGGGCAGUGGGAAAAACCAGGGGCUGGCUGGGACGCUCUGCAACAUCCUGUGAUGCACAGGACAGCUGCCGCCACGAGGAACGCUCCCGCCCCAGCGCCACAGUGCCGAGCUGGAGAAGGCCUGCGUCACACGGAGGACCCUUCUCUCUUCGACAUUGCCCUUGAUGCACAUUUCCGCCAGGUGUCACCUGAAAGCAAUGCACGAGGAUCGAUGCUCACCAGAGCGUGCAGAGACGACCGAGGCUACCGGGAUGUCACUGGAGAAUGCAGCUUGGAAAGUCCACGCCCACACGGCAGUGGAGAACCAACACCCCCCUGGGCACGUGGUCAAACCCCUCUAAUAAGAAGAGAAACCGAGAGUCUCAGCUGAGACUCUUGGCUGGAGGAGCUGUCACGGGCUGGCCGGGGACACGGGGGCGGGGGGAGGCAUCAGGAAAACUCUGAAAAUUCUGCAGAAUGUUUUGGUUUUGCUCACUUAGAUUUAGAGGAAUCCUCUGGCAAAAUGAAACUGAAAUCUUGCUUCCCCGGUAGUCUCCUGGCAACCAGAGGGCACAGACUUGCCCUUGAUCAUGAACUUGGUAGCAGCGUCCCUUGCGCGAUGCUUUUUGGGGGUCAGCUUUGUG